GGAAGGGUACAGCUCAGUGGUAGAGUGCGUGUUUAAUAUGCCUGAGGUCCUGGGUUCAAGCCCCAGCACCUCCG
rnacentral:tRNA from 1 species